CUUGAAAUUCAAAGGAUUUGGCGGUAUUUUAGUCUAGUUAGAGGAACCUGUUUCAUAAAUGAUGCUACACGUAAUAUCUUACUAGCUUUUGUUUGAAGUUUGUAUACCUCCAUUAUUAGAUAACUUUUAUAGAAAUAGUUAUUGAAAGUAAAUUUUUUAAAUAUAUUAGGUCAAGGUGCAGCUUAUAAGAAUAGGGAGAAUGGGUUACAAUAGAAUUUAUUUAAAACGGAUUAGGAGCGGAAGAUAGCUGUUAUGAAGGAGGAUUUAAUUGUAAUGGAUUUUUAAUAAGAUUCAAUGAGAAAAGUACUAAAUUAUGUACACAUACGCCCG
rnacentral:rRNA from 1 species